CUCAUCUCAAUUCCUGAAUUCCAAGCCCAAGCCCACCCGUGGCCAACAGGCAAUAGAAGCUCACUUCUCCCCCUCCCGUUGCCCACUUGCCCAUGCCUGACGCCCAGGCAAAGGGGAGACGCGCGACGGCGCGACGCACGGCCGCCGGCGCCUGCGCCUGCCGCCCUGGCCGCCCGCUCGCUACUCCGGCGCGCCACCCCGUUGCUGCCUUCUCCGGUGACGCCUCCUCCGGAUCCGGAAUUCGCCGGUGCUGCCCCCUCUGCCAGUCCGCCUCCGGCCCGGGCGCUCAGCGGCCCUCCCUGCAGUUCGGCGCGAGACGGCGCCCCCGGCUGCCCUGCCCCCUGCAGGCCAGCGUACCUUGCAGUUGCAGGCUGCAGCUCUUCUGAGCCUCUGAGGCUGAAAGGUUUAUUUCAAUAUCUCAAUUCUAAUUUUUAUUGCUUCUACCCGUGGCGACGGCAAGUGUUGAAAGGGUAUUCUCUGCAAUGGUUUUAGUCAAAACUAAGAAAAGAAAUAAGUUGGGCCAUAGUCUUUUGGAUGAUUGUCUACAGACUUUCAUUGAGCAGGAUAUUUUCUUUGAGGUGGAUGAAGAUAUAAUUGAGAGUUUCAUGAGUUCUAGAAACUGUAGACCAGACAAGAAGUAGCAUGGUAAUAAUCUGUUAACUUUCCUAUGUAAGCUUCUUUUUCAUUUGAACUUAAUACAUUUGAACCAUUUGCAUUAUAAUUUACGGAACCUUGGUACUUAAUUGUUGAAUUUAAGAUAUGCAAUGUUAUUUACCAAA